rnacentral:rRNA from 1 species
AACGAACGCUGGCGGCAGGCCUAACACAUGCAAGUCGAACGGUAACGCGGAGAGCUUGCUCUCUGGCGACGAGUGGCGGACGGGUGAGUAAUACUUAGGAAUCUGCCCAUUAGUGGGGGACAACUCGAGGAAACUCGAGCUAAUACCGCAUACGCCCUACGGGGGAAAGCGGGGGAUCUUCGGACCUCGCGCUAAUGGAUGAGCCUAAGUCGGAUUAGCUUGUUGGUGAGGUAAAGGCUCACCAAGGCGACGAUCCGUAGCUGGUCUGAGAGGACGAUCAGCCACACUGGGACUGAGACACGGCCCAGACUCCUACGGGAGGCAGCAGUGGGGAAUAUUGGACAAUGGGCGCAAGCCUGAUCCAGCAAUGCCGCGUGUGUGAAGAAGGCCUGCGGGUUGUAAAGCACUUUCAGUAGAGAAGAAAAGCCUAGGGUUAAUACCCCUGAGUCUUGACGUUACCUACAGAAGAAGCACCGGCUAACUCCGUG